AACGAACGCUGGCGGCAUGCCUAACACAUGCAAGUCGAACGAGAUCUUCGGGUCUAGUGGCGCACGGGUGCGUAACGCGUGGGAAUCUGCCCUUUGGUUCGGAAUAACAGUUGGAAACGACUGCUAAUACCGGAUGAUGACGAAAGUCCAAAGAUUUAUCGCCAGUGGAUGAGCCCGCGUAGGAUUAGCUAGUUGGUGUGGUAAAGGCGCACCAAGGCGACGAUCCUUAGCUGGUCUGAGAGGAUGAUCAGCCACACUGGGACUGAGACACGGCCCAGACUCCUACGGGAGGCAGCAGUGGGGAAGAUUGGACAAUGGGCGAAAGCCUGAUCCAGCAAUGCCGCGUGAGUGAUGAAGGCCUUGGGGUUGUAAAGCUCUUUUACCCGGGAUGAUAAUGACAGUACCGGGAGAAUAAGCUCCGGCUAACUCCGUGCCAGCCGCCGCGGUAA
rnacentral:rRNA from 1 species